AUGGAUAGCAUCGUCCCUAUCAGUACAAAGCAGGGAUCCAACAAGCUCUUCUCCACGUGUGUCAGCAACGGCCCCUUCAGCAGUUCACACUCAGCAGCCAAUGGAAAGAAGAAAUUCAAAGGUGACAACAAGAGCACAGGAGAUCCUUCCAGAGUCUUCCUCGUCUGCAAGCUACCCAGUGAUGUCAAUGAGGGUGAGGUCAUCUCCCUGGAGCUGCCCUUUAGGAAGGUUACCAACCUCCUUAUGCUGAAGGGGAAAAACCAGGCCUUCAUUGAAAUGAACACAGAGGAGGCUGCCAAUACUAUGGUCUACACUACUACAUGUUGCCACCAGUGCUUCGUGGACAGCCCAUCUACAUCCUGUUCUCCAACCAACAAAGAGUUCAAAACCGACAGCUCACCCAAUCAGGCACAUUCCCAGACAGCCCUGCAGGCUGUGUACUCUGUCCAGUCUGGAAACCUAACCUUGGCAGCCUUGGCUGCCACCGUGGAUGCAGGGAUGGCAAUGGCAGACCAGAGCCCAGUGCUCAGGAUCAUUGUGGAAAACCUUUCCUAUGCAGUGACCCUGGACAUGCUGCACCAGAUCUUCUCCAAGUUUGGCAUAGUCCUGAAGAUCAUCAAGUUGACCAAGAACAAUCAGUUCCAGUCACUAUUGCAGUAUGCUGACCCUGUGAGUGCCCAGCACGCCAAGCUGUCCCUGGACGGCCAGAACAUCUACAAUGCCUGCUACACACUCUGCAUAGACUUCUCCAAGCUCACCAGUCUCAACAUCAAACACAACAAUGACAAAAGCAGCAAUGACACUCGACCUGCCAGCCUUCACUAGACCAGACCAUGGCAGCAGCCUUUGGCCUCUCUGUCCCUAGUGUCCAUAGAGCCCUGCCCCCAUCCCCAGCCAUACCCUUUGCUGCAGCUGCAGUUGCAGCUGGCCGCAUUGCCAUCCCAGGGCUGGCAGACGCUGGGAAUUCCGUCCUUUUGGUCAGCAACCUGAACCCUGAAAGAGUCACACCCUAAAGCUUCUUUAUUGUCUUCGGCAUCAAUAGAGAUGUGCAACGGGUAAAGAUCCUGUUCAGUAGGAAGGAGAACGUGCUUGUGCAGAUGGCAGACGGCAGCCAGGCCCAACUGACCAUGAGCCACAAGCUGCAUGGGAAGUCGGUGCGCAUCACACUGUCAAAACAUCAGAGUGUGCAGCUGCCCUUGUAAGGAACAGGAGGACCACAGCCUGACCAAGGACUACAGCAGCUAACCACUGCACCACUCCAAGAACUUCCAGAACAUCUUUCCACCCUCAGCUACCCUGCACCUCUCCAACAUCCCACCCUCUGUGUCAGAGGAUGACCUCAAAAGCCUCUUAUCCAGCAAUGGUGAUGUGGUCAAAGGCUUCAGGUUCAUGAAGGACCACAAGAGGGCACUGAUCCAGACGGGCUCUGUGGAGGAGGCCGUGCAGGCUCUGAACUGCACAACCAUGACCUGGGCAAGAUCCACCACCUGCGAGUGUCCUUUUCCAAGUCUACCAUCUAG